GACGAACGCUGGCGGCGUGCCUAAUACAUGCAAGUAGAACGCUGAAGCUUGGUGCUUGCACCGAGCGGAUGAGUUGCGAACGGGUGAGUAACGCGUAGGUAACCUGCCUGGUAGCGGGGGAUAACUAUUGGAAACGAUAGCUAAUACCGCAUAAGAGUAGAUGUUGCAUGACAUUUGCUUAAAAGGUGCAAUUGCAUCACUACCAGAUGGACCUGCGUUGUAUUAGCUAGUUGGUGAGGUAACGGCUCACCAAGGCAACGAUACAUAGCCGACCUGAGAGGGUGAUCGGCCACACUGGGACUGAGACACGGCCCAGACUCCUACGGGAGGCAGCAGUAGGGAAUCUUCGGCAAUGGACGGAAGUCUGACCGAGCAACGCCGCGUGAGUGAAGAAGGUUUUCGGAUCGUAAAGCUCUGUUGUAAGAGAAGAACGAGUGUGAGAGUGGAAAGUUCACACUGA
rnacentral:rRNA from 1 species